ACGAAUGAGGCACUUAAUCUCACACAUAAAAGCAGUUGCAAGUUGGAUUUGUUACUCUCAUAUGUGGAUCUGGUUUCCAGGUGGUUUGGUGACUCUCGAACCAUGAUUCAGCAGACCUGUGAGGCUGUGAGUUCCCUAUCAGAACACAAUCUGCAGAUGGAGUCUUGCUCUGUUGCCCAGGCUGGAAUGCAAUGAUGCAAUCUCAGCUCACUGCAACCUCCAUCUCCCAGGUUCAAGUGGUUCUCCUGCCUCAGCCUCCCAAGUAGCUGGGACUACAGGUGCUGCCUUCAGGAGGGAUUGUGACAUAUGCCUGGACCAAACACCUGGAUGACGUGACACUCCUGCAUGAGCCCUGCCCUAAGGGGAUAUUUUUACAUGUUGGUGAACUCAGCCUCUAGGUGAUGUGACUCUACUCUCCUGCCUGGGCCCUGCCCACAGGGGGCAUUGGAACAUUUCACUUGGCUCAGCACCAAGAAGAUGUUACUCUCCUACCUGGACCUCUCCCACAGGGGACACCUAGAUGAUGUGAUUUUUCUUCCUGGUUCCUGCUCAGACUUCAAAUUGUGAUGUACAUCUGGGCCCAAAACACAGCUGGAUCCAGGUACGAGAGUCAACAUCUCACCAGUGAGCUGUGACCAUGUAUAUGUCACAAUUUCACCUGUGGGCAGGAACCAGACAUGAGAGUCAUCACCUGGGUGCUGGGUAAGUGAUACAUUACAAUUCUUACUUUGGGCAGGGUCUAGGCAACAGAGGAGAGACACAUCACCUGUAUGAUUGGCCCAGCGAUGGGUGAAAAUCCUCUCUGAGAGCAGGGCCCAUUCAGGAGAGUCAUAUCACCUAGCUGCUUGGCCAAGUGAAAUAUCACAAUGAACCCUUUGCACAGGGCCAAUACAGGACAGUUACAUCACCAGGGAGCUGGGUCCAGCUAUAUGUCACAAUUCCUUUUGUGGAAAGUGUCCAGGCAGAAAAGCAGAGUCAUAUCACCUAGCCAAUGGGCCCAGAGAGAUGCCACAAUGCCAUUUGUAGGCUGGGCCCUGGGAGAAGAAUAACAUCACCCAGUUCUGGGCCCAGCAAUAUGUUGUGAUCCCAACUGGAAAAAGGUUCCAGACAAGAGAGGAGAAUCACAUCAUCAUGAUGAUAAGCCAAGAGAUUUCACAAUCCCCCCCCCCGUGCACAUGUCCCAGGCAGAAGACCUGAAUUACCUUUUUACUUAGGCCAGUAAUGUCACAGUGCUUCCUCAGGGCAGGGCACAAACAAGAUAGGACAGUCACAUCAUUAAGUGCUAGACUUAAUGCUAGAUAUGUCAUAACCUUACUUGUGGGCAGGGUCCAGGAAGGAGAGAUUUAUGUCACCUAGGUGCUCAGUAAAGAGAUAUAUUACAAUUACAAUUCCUUUGAGGGAAGUGGCCAGGCAAAAUAGUCACAUCACCUAGGUGUUUGGCCCAGGUAUAAGUCACAAGAUAUCUGUGUGUUGAGACCAGAAGGACUAGCAAAUUAUGAAGGUUCUAUGUAGAAGUGCAUGUCACAGACACCUGCAGGAAGGCCCAGGAAUGAGACUCCCAAUUCCACACAUUUUCCCACUCCAAGUGUAAGAGUCAACAACUCCUGAGACUUAGGCCCAAGUACAUGAGUCACAAUCUCAACAGUGGAUUGCAUCCUGCCAUGAGAGCCCCAAUCCCUUCUCCAAGCUGUGUUCCAGUAGAGGAGUCACAACAUCAAUGGUGUGCUGAAUCCUGGUUGGAGAGUUCCCACUUCACCUGUGGACUGGAUCCGUAUAUGAGAGUCUCAAUUCCAGCUCUCAACUGCCCCUGGGUGUGAGAUUCAGGACCUCAAUUGUGAGCUGUGUACACAUGGACAUGUAACAAUUUCUACUUUUGGCUGUGUGUUCAUACAAGACUCAAUCUCAUCUGUGUUCUCGGCCCUGUUAUGAGACUCUCUGUACCACCCAUGGGAUUUAUUCAAUACGCAUGGGUGUCAUAAUCCUCUGUGAUCUUCAUACAAGUAGAAGACCCAGGACCUUACCCAUGGCCCUAGGCCUAUCUAUGAGAAUUGACAUUUUUCCUCACAUUUUUAAUUUUAACAAAUAAGUUAUUCUCCUCUCAGUUCAGAUUCAUCAGGAAAUUGAAUCAUAUUCAGAAGAAUUAAAACUGAAAGACUAAUAUGUUUGUUAAAGCAAUGCAGGUUGUCAUACUAAUAAACCCUAAAAUUUCAAAGGCUUAGCAAAAUAAUACAUUUUCUGCUUCCAUCA